UACGUAGGGGGCAAGCGUUGUCCGGAGUUACUGGGCGUAAAGCGCACGCAGGCGGUCUCUUAAGUUUGGAGUGACAGUUGGUGGCUUAACUGCCAAAGUGCUUCGAAAACUGAGGGACUUGAGGGCUUCAGAGGGACACGGAAUUCCGGGUGGAGUGGUGAAAUGCGUAGAGAUCCGGAGGAACACCAAAGGCGAAGGCAGUGUCCUGGGGAGUACCUGACGCUCAGGUGCGAAAGCCAGGGGAGCGAACGGG
rnacentral:rRNA from 1 species